GAUGAACGCUAGCGACAGGCCUAACACAUGCAAGUCGAGGGGCAGCACGAAGUAAGCUUGCUUACUUUGGUGGCGACCGGCGCACGGGUGCGUAACAGGUGUGCAAUCUGUCCAUAAUCGGGGAAUAGCCCAGCGAAAGUUGGAUUAAUGCUCCAUGUGAGUUUUAGAGGCAUCUCUUUAAUUUGAAACGUAAGGAUUAUGGGUGAGCACGCUUCUGAUUAGGUAGUUGGUGAGGUAACGGCUCACCAAGCCGACGAUCAGUAGGGGUUCUGAGAGGAAGGUCCCCCACAUUGGAACUGAGACACGGUCCAAACUCCUACGGGAGGCAGCAGUGAGGAAUAUUGGUCAAUGGACGGAAGUCUGAACCAGCCAAGUCGCGUGAAGGAUGAAGGUUCUAUGGAUUGUAAACUUCUUUUGUCUGAGGGUAAAACAGUGCACGUGUCCACUCUUGCAAGUAUCAGACGAAUAAGCAUCGGCUAACUCCGUGCCAGCCGCCGCCGUAAAAC
rnacentral:rRNA from 1 species